AACGAACGCUGGCGGCAUGCCUAACACAUGCAAGUCGAACGAGAUCUUCGGGUCUAGUGGCGCACGGGUGCGUAACGCGUGGGAAUCUGCCCUUUGGUUCGGAAUAACAGUCGGAAACGACUGCUAAUACCGGAUGAUGACGAAAGUCCAAAGAUUUAUCGCCAGAGGAUGAGCCCGCGUAGGAUUAGCUAGUUUGUGUGGUAAAGGCGCACCAAGGCGACGAUCCUUAGCUGGUCUGAGAGGAUGAUCAGCCAAACUGGGACUGAGACACGGCCCAGACUCCUACGGGAGGAAGCAGUGGGGAAUAUUGGACAAUGGGCGAAAGCCUGAUCAAGCAAUGCCGCGUGAGUGAUGAAGGCCUUAGGGUUGUAAAGCUCUUUUACCCGGGAUGAUAAUGACAGUACCGGGAGAAUAAGCUCCGGCUAACUCCGUGCCAGCCGCCGCCGUAA
rnacentral:rRNA from 1 species